GCCUUCCCACCUCACCUCCAUUAAUCUCUGCCGGAGAAGCCUGCCCGAAAGGUCGCCCCCAUCCUAGGGAUCAUUCUUCCAUGGUGCUAUUUUUUUAAUGCCCCACUUAGGUGUAUGGUAUUGCUGAAUUCAUGAAAUCUAGUGGAAGUCCUGGAAUGCAUUUCCAGUAUGAUACCAAUUCUGGGCAUGGCAUUUGCUUUGGAUGACCUGCAAUGUGUUGUUUCAGGUAAAUAUAGAUGAUUCUCCACUUGGAAACUAUUUUAACAUGUACAUAUGUAGUUGUCUCGUAAUUCUUGCUAUAACAAUGUCUGCUCUUAGUAUCUUUUAUUGUUGGUACUGUAUGUAUUCAUCUGGUACACCUGCAAUCAUUUAGGCUUUAGCAUAUUAUUAUCAAGUCAUAGCCUCACUCUCCCUUGGGUAGGCAUAUCAA